rnacentral:ncRNA from 1 species
CUUCACAGGUUAUCCCGUGGCCUGAGUGGUAGAAGCAAAGCUACUGCUAGUCACUAUUAGUGGCGAUGUCUCCAAAUUGCGUGAAACCCGUCAUACAGCUUCAAGUACCACUUCAAUUGAGAAAUCUUUUGAAGGAACAGAGGUAACUCCUCUUCCCAAUGGUAAAAAGCUUGAAGACAUGGUGGCAAUGCGCAGCCAAGCUCCUAAGUAUUUUAAAUAUAAGGAGAAGGUUCAGAGAGCAGACGGAGAUGGGCGGUAAUUAUCGCCGCUUAAGGUGUGCUCCAGCCUCAUUCGAAAGAUUGGG